UGCUCCCUUUGGCAGUAGGAUACUAAAACUGGAAUGAUACAGAGUUUAGGAUGGCUUCUGCAGAAAGGUGACAUGACAGUUUAUGAAACAUUACAUACUUUC